UGGGUGAGGAAGCAUCUCUCUGAGCUGUGAGUGUCCCUAAGUCACUCCCCUCCUCCCCACCCUCCUUACUUCCUGUAAAGCAAUACCGCCUACCCCCUCCGCCCCAAGAAGGGAGUGAGAAGGUCUAACUAGUUCCACAAAGGAAGGACUCAAAGAGAUACCACUGCCCAGCCACAAAGCAGCUUCAGGAAGUGGAGAAUGGCGGCCCCCUCUGCAUAGACACGUCUUUCAAAGGGGAUCUCUCGGGUCUGGGAGAAGGGUCUGAUGGGAAGAUGAACAGAAGGAGAAGCUCAAGACUCAGCUCAGAGAAGGGAAAGAGUGAGGCACAGAUGGGCCAAAGGACAGGGGACUGGUCUGGGGCCCAGGUGGUCUCUCGGCACAGCUCCUCCUCACCUCCAGC